rnacentral:rRNA from 1 species
UACGUAGGGGGCGAGCGUUGUCCGAAGUUACUGGGCGUAAAGCGCGCGUAGGCGGGGGAUUAAGUGAGGGGUGAAAGGCUGGGGCUCAACCUCAUGCAGUGCCUCUCAUACUGGUUCUCUUGAGGGCGGUAGGGAGAAGUGGAAUGGCUGGUGUAGCGGUGAAAUGCGUAGAUAUCAGUCGGAACACCGGUGGCGAAGGCGGCUUCUUGGGCCGUUCCUGACGCUGAGGCGCGAAAGCUGGGGGAGCGAACGGG